UUCUGCCCCCUUGGUUUUCGAUACACAAAGGACUCGGUGUUUUUCUCAAGACUGCUUCUGCUGCCCACAGAUAUCCUGUUUUCAUCCUCUAGGCAGGUGCAGCUGGUCUUAAGACUGCUUCUGCCGCCCACAGAUAUCCUGUUUUGCUCUGGCCUGUUUGAUCAAAACAUCUUAAGAUGGAGACUAAGGUUGGGGUCUUUCAGUACCACUAAAACUUUUUUGUAAAGCAGUUAAGAAUGUCAUUCCAUUGCCUUUGACUGGCCUGCUGAAGGAUUGCUAUAAUACUUCUCUGCAUUUUCCUGUUAUUCUUUUGCUGGAGCAUCAUUGAAAGCCCAGAAGAGUCACCAAAAUCUUUCCAGUCUGGAUGGGUCUGAACCCAACAUCUCUCAGUACUGAGCUGCCUCGUACACGUUCGCUGUUCUCCAUGUCCCAGGGUUUGCUCUCUGCUGGUGCUCCAUGCUCUCUGCUGGUGCUCCAUGCCCUCUGCUGGUGCUCCAUGCUCUCUGCUGGUGCUCCAGAUUCUUCCAUGCACAAGAACAACUAGUGUCAGCCCAGGGCCUAAGAGGAAUUCUAAGUAGAAGUUUAAGCUCCUCUCCUGGCGGCACUGUCUCCUCCGAUAUUUAAACCCCUUCUGCUCAGACCUGUUCUCCUUACCCAGGGAGUCAAAUAAGUGGUCAAUUGCUAAAAAUUGUAAGCUUCCAGGGCAAACUACACACACACACACACACACACACACACACACACACACACGUGCGCGCGUGAGCAACUGUGUGCCUAACCAUAGAAUGUUCAUCACAAAACAUGGGCAUCAGAAAGCAGUGGAAGGAAAUUCUUCAAGAGUUAAAGAGAAGAAGGGAAACAGAGAAUGUGAUGUUUAUUGAGCCAAGUAAUUAGGUUUGUGCUUUCCGAGCUGUGGCUUCCAUCUCUUUAAUAUAUUCCAAAUCAAGAGUGGAUUGCAUUUAGAAUUUUUAUUGAAGGGAGGCAGCGGGCAUUGAACACAGAGUCUUGUGUGCAUACUAAGUAUAUUCUUCUGCACUGAGCUAUAGCCAGAGCCUCGGAGGAGUUUUCAAAACUAGAAGAGAAUGAAACAGAGCAUUGUCUAGGAAAUCAUCAGUGUGCGUCUUAAAUAUUCAGGAUCCUACCCCUCAAAAGAGGACUGGAUACGUUUGUAUGCAGUGUAAGUAUGAGUAUGUGGUCUAUAAACUGUCCAAAGAGUUGUCAGAAAAAUAUGUUAGGUAAUAGGAUAAGUUGCAAGGAACAGUGAGAUGACAGACAAAAGUGCAGAAACACGUGGUAAACCUAGCUUUCGUGCCAUCUUCCUAAUGGAAGUUCUGUUCAGAGGAGUAAAGCCACACCAGCCCACCUUCAAGCGGCCAUACACCUGAGCGUGUGGAUGUGGCUGACUUAAAGAAUAAGGGCUAAUGGUCUGCAAAGAAAUCAACUUUGAUGGGAAUGUCAGGGUAGCUCGAUGGCUAAGAGAGAAAAGAAUUAUAAACAAAACAGAAGGACGAAAAAGGAGAGUGUGUUAUCUGGAAUUCUGCACGGUAGGUGUUCUGCGUGCUCUUGCUGGGCUGUUCCGUGAGCCAUGCAGAUUAAAGGCUUGCUUUAUUUCUCUAUUCACAAGCACAUGUUUCAGGCCAGUGUUUUUUUUCCCAGGCUCUUUUUUUUAAGAAAGCAAAGAAACGUCGGUAUAUGUAUCUUAUCUCUUUGAAUCCCUCAUGUUUAUGUGUCUUUAACUAUAUAAUUUUCCCUCUCUUAACAUUUAGCUCAUAAAACCUUUCAGAAGAGGGACCAUCAUUGUUGCCAUAAUGAUGAUGAGGGAGUAUUCAGAGAUUUAGUAAUAAUAAUAAUAAUAAUAAUAAUAAUAAUAAUAAUAAUAAAAUAGUGAUUUCUUCACCUUUAUAUUUAUUCAGCAAAUACUCAAACGAUGCUUGCUAUGAGUUGAAUACUUCGGAGUAAACUUUUGAAAUACUAGAUUUUUAUCUCUCUAAAGACCCUAUCAAAUAGCUACAGCUAUUCUUAUUCCAUACAGAGGAACCAGAAGAAACUGGAGAUUAAAUUAUUUACUGCUGUGAGUGCAGAAAUCUAGACUUGUACCCCGACCAUAUGACUGUAUGGCCAGUGUGCUUACAAGACCCCUAUUCUCUACUCAUUUCUGUGCACCAGAGAAUAAUAGCCACUGCCUGGGAUCCCUCUUUUUACUUCAACUGUUAGUUUAAACCCGCCAUAUCUUAUUCAGAGUACUCAGCAUGAUGUCUCAAAUUUUGUCAGUGUGGUUUGCCCUUUGGGAUUUCUACCACAUUGUAAUUCAUCACUCCAAAGUCAGAGGAGUGUCUGCCUGUCCCAGCACCAUUCUCCUUUUGCCUUUUCCUCAGGGAACAUAAGGGAAGACAGGAGAUUAUAUUAUAGCACCAGCCUUUAAUUGACUCCAAUGUCCACUUAGAAUAAAAUGCCACUUGAUCCUGCUCCCAUGGUUCAAGUUAUUUGUCUCUUUGUGUGGAGCGGCAUCUCAUGACUUGUUACGUGAUUGACAGUUCUCACCUCCUCCUUCAUCUUCCUUCAGGUUGCAGGCAUUGCAGCAAGGAAGGAAAAGAAUAACAGUACUGAAGAUAAGAAUGCAGAAGAUGGGGGACUCUAGGGUUUGACUGGUUGUCAAUUAUAGUCAACUUGGUAACAAAAGCAUUAUGGACUAACUUGACUACAUGUUCUUUGAUUUUCAAAUCAUCCUAAAAUACUAAAAACAUCUUCAAAAUUUCAGAUAUCAAAUUUUGGUGCGGGAGAAUUAUCUGUAUCCUGUCAAUAUGUUUAUUUUGAAUAAAUGCUGAUUGACCAGGCAGGAAGUAUAGGUGGGUCAACAGACAAGAAGUAGAGACAGGGUGAUGAGAACAGGAGGAUGCUAGGAAGGAGGAAACCCAUUCCUCCCAUUGCUACCCAGAUCACUGAGAAACAAGAUGUAACCUGCCCAGCUGAGAAAGGUACCGAGCCAUGUGGCUAACAUAGAUAAGAAUAAAGGAUUAAUAUGAGCUACAAGAGCUAAUAAAAAGACUGAGCUAAUGGGCCAAUCAUUAUAACUUAAUGGAAGUCUCUGUAUGAAUUUCUUUGGGGCUUGUCAGCUGUGGGGUACUGGGUGGGACAGAAACCCCAACAAGCUGGCCUUCAUGUUACAAAAUUUCAAAUUGCUUAGAAGAUUUAUUGUGUAAAAAGACAAUGGCCAGGCCACACCUGACAGUAGUAUUCUUACCCACUAUUCCUAAAGCAACCAGUCAGGUCUGGGAAUCCAAUCUGUGCCUCUGGAGCAAUCAGUUCAGAAUGACCAGAAUGUGGUCUGUGAUUGACAGGUUCCUUGCUCAAACUCAGUACUAACAGGCAAAGCUAAGUACUCUUCCCAGACCUAUGCUCUAGAUGCACUCCUUGUUAGCCUGCCUCCCUGUCUGCAGCUGCAACCAGAACACACCUUUCUUACCCACAAAGCUUUCCCAUGCCUCUGCUUGCUUGAGUUCAAACCAGAUAGGAUGGACAGAGCUGACUAUUGCUAUAAUUCGGAAUUGAUGCCUAGUCUGCUUGCCCUCCUUAAAUAGCCAUUUAUUAAAUUCCUCCAUGUUUAAAGGAAAAUGUUUCCUCUUGCCCCAAUUUCUGAAAAAUUAAUUGCUGUAUCCGAUCCUUGUUUCCAGUGGAGUCUGUAGGCAUUUGUGCAGGGCUGCCUGUGUUAACGUCUGGAGAGCUGGACAGGUAGUUGACGCCGUCGAUGACGAUCUGAACAAGUUCCACCUUGACCGUGAGAAAGAGGCGCGGCCAUGAGGAGGAGGUGUGGUAGAGAAAGGAGAAGGAGAAAUGAUUAAUUUGAGCAGUAGGUGCCUGCAGACUCCCCAGAAUGUGAACUUGCCUCUUAGCAGGACUUUAUCACAUGAAAUCAGGGCACUUGUGGGAGGGGUGUCAUUCUGAGGCUGGGGCCAGAUGUGGAGAGGUGUCAUCCUGAGGCUGGGAUCAGAUGUGGAGAGGUGUCACCCUGAGGCUGGGGUCAGAUGUGGAGAGGUGUCACCCUGAGGCUGGGGCCAGAUGUGGAGAGGUGUCAUCCUGAGGCUGGGAUCAGAUGUGGAGGGUGUCACCCUGAGGCUGGGGCCAGAUGUGGAGGGUGUUAUCCUGAGGUUGGGGCCAGAUGUGGAGAUGGAGAUGGGGCUUAAGAUUUUCUCUCAAACCUUCCUUCGGGCGGGGCUGCUGGGAGAAUUUUAUACUUGAAAAUUAUUAGUUUUAAUUCCUUUCUUUUAAAAAAAUUGUGUCUCUGUGUGUGUGUGAGAGAGAGAGAGAGAAAGAGAGAGAGAGAGAGAGAGAGAGAGAGAGAGAGAGAGAGAACAGGCAUACGCAUGUCAGCAGAAGACAACUGGGCAGUCGAUUCUCCCAUUUUACCAUGUGUUCCCCAUGUACCUUUUUAUUUUAAAGAUUUGUUAUUGCUUUACUUAAUGUGCACACAUGUGUGCCAGCGUAAGAAUGUGUGCACUGCAUCCCUGCGGGUGCCCAUGGAGGCCAAAGGACCUUAGAUUCCCUGGAACUCGGCUUACAGAAAGUGUGAGCCACCAGCACUGGGAUCAGAUCCAGGGCCUUGCACCUGCCAGGCAAGAGCCUCACCGUGAAGGUACCGACCCCCCAUCAGUGCUGGAGAGGCAGCUCGGCGGUCAUGAGCACUUGCAGAGGCCCUGGGUUUGGUUCCCAGCAGCCACCGUGCUCACAAGCAUCUGUAACUCCAGUUUGGGGGCACUGAUGCCCUCUUCUCAAUCUCUGGGUCACUAAGAAUGCACUUAGUGCAUAUA